GACGAACGCUGGCGGCGUGCCUAAUACAUGCAAGUAGAACGCACAGUUUAUACCGUAGCUUGCUACACCAUAAACUGUGAGUUGCGAACGGGUGAGUAACGCGUAGGUAACCUGCCUGGUAGCGGGGGAUAACUAUUGGAAACGAUGGCUAAUACCGCAUAAUAUUAAUUAUUGCAUGAUAAUUGAUUGAAAGAUGCAAUUGCAUCACUACCAGAUGGACCUGCGUUGUAUUAGCUAGUAGGUGAGGUAACGGCUCACCUAGGCGACGAUACAUAGCCGACCUGAGAGGGUGAUCGGCCACACUGGGACUGAGACACGGCCCAGACUCCUACGGGAGGCAGCAGUAGGGAAUCUUGGCAAUGGACGAAAGUCUGACCGAGCAACGCCGCGUGAGUGAAGAAGGUUUUCGGAUCGUAAAGCUCUGUUGUAAGAGAAGAACGGGUGUGAGAGUGGAAAGUUCACACUGUGACGGUAGCUUACCAGAAAGGGACGGCUAACUACGUG
rnacentral:rRNA from 1 species